rnacentral:lncRNA from 1 species
ACCCUGUCUUCAGAGAAAGAAGAUGAUGUAUAUUCCUUAAAUAACUUUGGGACAUCUCACUCAGCAAAAUGCUACCAUUAUCUUUUACUGUUUAAUCACUUAAAUUUGAAAAUUACUUAGAGAAGUGCCACUGGCAAAUCACUGCUGCUCAGUGUGCUGGCUUUCUCACCAUGUGUUGCUCACAGUGGUAAAGUGUGCAUUAAACUACGAUUUCUUCCAUCUAUUACAGUAUCUGUGGUAUUUCUCAGACUGGAAAGGAAGUAAAACCUCAUGAAGAGCUGGCAGAAGACAUUCUAACUAUAGGUGAGUAUUCCCAGCAUUAUGUGACUGAUGAACUAAAAAUAUUGUGUGAUUCCUUCAUUAACACUGCAGUGAACACAGCUUAGCAUGUUUCCAAGCAAGUUGUCAAUGUUAAUAGUCCAGCUAGAAUAUUCCAUGUUUAUAGAAACGUAGCGAGCUAGGCAACCCACUCCUAUC